GACGAACGCUGGCGGCGUGCCUAAUACAUGCAAGUCGAGCGAAGUUUUUCUGGUGCUUGCACUAGAAACACUUAGCGGCGAACGGGUGAGUAACACGUAAAGAACCUGCCUCAUAGACUGGGACAACUAUUGGAAACGAUAGCUAAUACCGGAUAACAGUAUUUCUCGCAUGAGAGAUAUUUAAAAGUUGGUUAUGCUAACACUAUGAGAUGGCUUUGCGGUGCAUUAGCUAGUUGGUGGGGUAAGGGCCCACCAAGGCGACGAUGCAUAGCCGACCUGAGAGGGUGAUCGGCCACACUGGGACUGAGACACGGCCCAGACUCCUACGGGAGGCAGCAGUAGGGAAUCUUCCGCAAUGGGCGAAAGCCUGACGGAGCAACGCCGCGUGAGUGAAGAAGGAUUUCGGUUCGUAAAGCUCUGUUGUUAGGGAAGAAUGGAUAUGUAGUAACUAUACAUGUAAGAGACGGUACCUAACCAGAAAGCCACGGCUAACUACGUG
rnacentral:rRNA from 1 species